ACAGCAAUAUCACGUUGAAACACAGCUUCCUGUACGAUCACCGAAGUUAAGCAACGUUGAGCAUGGUCAUUACCUAGAUGGGAGACUGCUUCGGAAUACGAGGCGCUGUAA